CAAACUAUACAUACACCCCAAGAUGGACAAGCCCAGUUGAUCGCGUGCAUGUGCUUUUGGUCGACCCUUUUGGUGCAGAGUGCGUAAAAUAGGGUGUUCCACACGCAAAGACUUCCAGGUCGUGAGAAGUCGCUAGCACGUGGAAGGGAGAACAAACCAGAAGUGUCAUGCUCGGCCUGGUGGUUAGGACGAGAACAUGCACUCGGCCGCGCCUAGAAACUAGGCUCAUUGGUUGUGGACGUGCACAACGAGGACUAGUCAACACAAACCGCUCAACUUAAAGCACCUUUUUGCAAUUUUUUGAGUUUUCCUGAAUUGGUGAUUUUCCCCCAAAUUUUGUGCACUUUUAAAAUUUUAUAUAGUUUACAGUUUUUUAGAUUUACGAUUUUCAUUUUUCAACUAUCUACUAUGAAAUGGUCAACUGGACAAUGACCAAUGAUGAACUAGGUCAAUGGUUGACCGGUCCAACAAAGGGGUGACUGACUGAGUGAGUGAAUGGCUAAUUUCUUUUUGACCAGCUAACAGUUUGUAGCAUGUGGACGUCAACACUAUAACUGAUGCAAUACGAGAUCUCUAAGAUGGAGGCAU
rnacentral:lncRNA from 1 species